AGUGAACGCUGGCGGUAGGCCUAACACAUGCAAGUCGAACGGCAGCACAGGAGAGCUUGCUCUCUGGGUGGCGAGUGGCGGACGGGUGAGGAAUACAUCGGAAUCUACUUUUUCGUGGGGGAUAACGUAGGGAAACUUACGCUAAUACCGCAUACGUCCUACGGGUGAAAGCAGGGGAACUUCGGACCUUGCGCGAUCGAAUGAGCCGAUGUCGGAUUAGCUAGUUGGCGGGGUAACGGCCCACCAAGGCGACGAGCCGUAGCUGGUCUGAGAGAAUGAUCAUCCACACUGGAACGUAGACACGGUCCAGACUCCUACGGGAGGCAGCAGUGGGGAAUAUUGGACAAUGGGCGCAAGCCUGAUCCAGCCAUACCGCGUGGGUGAAGAAGGCCUUCGGGUUGUAAAGCCCUUUUGUUGGGAAAGAAAUCCAGCUGGUUAAUACCCGGUUGGGAUGACGGUACCCAAAGAAUAAGCACCGGCUAACUUCGUGCCAGCCGCCGCGGUAA
rnacentral:rRNA from 1 species